UCCCAUUCGGAUUGCAGUCUGCAACUCGAGUGCAUGAAGCUGGAAUCGCUAGUAAUCGCGAAUCAGAAUGUCGCGGUGAAUACGUUCCCGGGUCUUGUACACACCGCCCGUCACACCAUGGGAGCCGACAACGCCCGAAGUCAGUGACCUAACCGAGAGGGAGGAGCUGCCGAAGGCGGGGUUGGUAACUGGGGUGAAGUCGUAACAAGGUAAC
rnacentral:rRNA from 1 species